rnacentral:rRNA from 1 species
UACGUAGGGACCAAGCGUUGUUCGGAUUUACUGGGCGUAAAGGGCGCGUAGGCGGCGUGUUAAGUCACUUGUGAAAUCUCUAAGCUUAACUUAGAACGGUCAAGUGAUACUGAUGUGCUAGAGUGCAGAAGGGGCAACCGGAAUUCUUGGUGUAGCGGUGAAAUGCGUAGAUAUCAAGAGGAACACCUGAGGUGAAGACGGGGUUGCUGGGCUGACACUGACGCUGAGGCGCGAAAGCUAGGGUAGCAAACGGG